rnacentral:rRNA from 1 species
ACGGGGGAUCCGAGCGUUAUCCGGAUUUACUGGGUUUAAAGGGUGCGCAGGCGGCGGGGUCCGUCCGCGGUGAAACGCCKGGGCUCAACCCCGGCCUUGCCGUGGAAACAGCCCCGCUUGAAUACGGUCGAGGUUGGCGGAAUGCGUGGUGUAGCGGUGAAAUGCAUAGAGAUCACGUGGAAGGCCGAUUGCGAAGGCAGCUGGCCAGGCCGGGAUUGACGCUGAGGCACGAAAGCGUGGGGAGCGAACAGGAUUAGAUACCCUGGUAGUCCACGCCGUAAACGAUGAGCACUGGCUGUCGGCGACAGGCUGUCGGCGGCUGCGCGAAAGCGUUAAGUGCUCCACCUGGGGAGUACGGCCGCAAGGCUGAAACUCAAAGGAAUUGACGGGGGCCCGCACAAGCGGAGGAACAUGUGGUUUAAUUCGAUGAUACGCGAGGAACCUUACCUGGGCUCGAACGGCGGAUACGGCCCCCGAAAGGGGGCCUGCCCCUCGGGGCGUCCGCCGAGGUGUUGCAUGGUUGUCGUCAGCUCGUGCCGUGGGGUGUCGGGUUAAGUCCCAUAACGAGCGCAACCCCUGCCGCCAGUUGCCAGCGGGUAAUGCCGGG